GCGGAGAGCGCUCGGAGCAGCGGCGGGGCUCGGGGCGCCGCGGAAUAAAGCCCCGAGGGCCCGCGCCGGCGCCCCCCGGCCCCGCCCGCGGCCACCGGGGCAGGGCCCGCUCUGCAGGUCCCACACACGGUUCCCAAGCAGCCUCCGGUUCCGCCGGGGUCCGGAGCCAUCCCCCAGCACACGGGGUGCGAGAUCAGCCAGGGCCGGUCUGUGCUCACGGCGUGGUCUGGGGGCUUUGGAAUGUGUUUGGGGCUGGGCAUGAGCAGUUCUGACAGCUCCUGUUCAUCUGCAUCGUGACAGGGAUUGGUUUAGGACCUGGCCACAAGCCAGGCUCAGUUCAGCGAGCACAAGCUGUAACUGCCUGGGGCUGGAGAUGGACACGAGCUGCAGCCACGAUGGAACUACAGCCAUCCAGGAGCUGGGCCUGAAAAACAGGAGGGCAGAAACAGACCUGAGGCUGCAAUGGGGCCCGAGGCAUGAAUGAGCUGGAGCUCUUGUGGGGACAGAAACCGCUGCCCUGGAGCCGCGAAUGAGCUGCAGCCACAACAGCCAGGAGCUGAACCCAGAGCCAGAACCAAACUGGAGAUGUCCAGGAGCUGUGGCUGAACCAACAUCAAAACCAACCAAAUCCAAACCCCAAAAUAAACCAAACCAACCCAAAAUCAAA